rnacentral:rRNA from 1 species
GAUGAACGCUAGCGGGAGGCUUAACACAUGCAAGUCGAGGGGCAGCAUAGGGUAGCAAUACUCUGAUGGCGACCGGCAAACGGGUGAGUAACGCGUAUGCAACCUACCCUGUACAGGGGGAUAACCCGGAGAAAUUCGGACUAAUAUCCCGUAAUAAUAUCCGGAGGCAUCUUUGGAUAUUUAAAGUUCCGACGGUACGGGAUGGGCAUGCGUAACAUUAGCUGGUUGGUAAGGUAACGGCUUACCAAGGCUAUGAUGUUUAGGGGUCCUGAGAGGGUGGUCCCCCACACUGGUACUGAGACACGGACCAGACUCCUACGGGAGGCAGCAGUGAGGAAUAUUGGUCAAUGGGCGCAAGCCUGAACCAGCCAUCCCGCGUGCAGGAAGACGGCCCUAUGGGUUGUAAACUGCUUUUCCAGGGAGAGAAACUUACGCACGUGUUGCGUGACUGACGGUACCCUGGGAAUAAGCAUCGGCUAACUCCGUGCCAGCAGCCGCGGUAAGAUC